UGCUUGCACCUUUCAGCGAGUGGCGAACGGGUGAGUAACACGUGGAUAACCUGCCUCAAGGCUGGGGAUAACAUUUGGAAACAGAUGCUAAUACCGAAUAAAACUUAGUAUCGCAUGAUAUCAAGUUAAAAGGCGCUACGGCGUCACCUAGAGAUGGAUCCGCGGUGCAUUAGUUAGUUGGUGGGGUAAAGGCUUACCAAGACGAUGAUGCAUAGCCGAGUUGAGAGACUGAUCGGCCACAUUGGGACUGAAACACGGCCCAAACUCCUACGGGAGGCUGCAGUAGGGAAUCUUCCACAAUGGGCGCAAGCCUGAUGGAGCAACGCCGCGUGUGUGAUGAAGGCUUUCGGGUCGUAAAGCACUGUUGUAUGGGAAGAAAUGCUAAAAUAGGGAAUGAUUUUAGUUUGACGGUACCAUACCAGAAAGGGACGGCUAAAUACGUGCCAGCAGCCGCGGUAAUACGUAUGUCCCGAGCGUUAUCCGGAUUUAUUGGGCGUAAAGCGAGCGCAGACGGUUGAUUAAGUCUGAUGUGAAAGCCCGGAGCUCAACUCCGGAAUGGCAUUGGAAACUGGUUAACUUGAGUGUUGUAGAGGUAAGUGGAACUCCAUGGG
rnacentral:rRNA from 1 species